GGAAGGAUCAUUACCACGUUUAUCCAACGUAUCAACCAAACGCGAACUGUUCACAUAUCCUCCUCCGGGACUCUUUCGAGAGACCUAGGGCCAACCCUUGUAUCAACCAAACCAAUCACCAUACAUACUUUUUGCUAGUUGACUUUACUGUAUACUCGCGUCGUUCCUAACGGAAUAGCGGGUGUUUCCUUUACACGAAACAACACACCAAUACAACUCUUAGCAAUGGAUAUCUCGGUUCUCGCAACGAUGAAGAACGCAGCGAAAUGCGAUACGUAAUGCGAAUUGCAGAAUUCAGUGAAUCAUCAAAUCUUUGAACGCAAAUUGCGCUGCCGGGUAGCCCUGGCAGCACGCCUCUCUCAGUAUCGGUUCAACCACAUCUCAGCAGCGUGUUUGUUAUGUAUAUAUUUACUUAUGUACUGAUGCGGGCGCGUGUUGGCUGGAAAAUGAGAGUCUGUGUGCUUUGCCAUGCAGUCUCUUGAAAUACAUGGAGUGGAGUAGCGUUUGUGCACUUUCGGGUGCAUGAGCGAGGUGAGUUAAUCGACGGUCAGUUGAACUCCCGCCAGCUUUUCCUUUAUUCACUUAUCGGAGAAUAGCUGCGCGCUGUCGUGCUGGCAUGGUGCCUGCGAUCGGACGAGUGACGUGAGAUGGUAGAGAGCUUCGGUUCUUUUCUGGUUUUGCGUGUGUCUUGUCUGGCCGCGUGGCUAAGUGCGUGUGCGUGACUGGUGUGCGGCGAACGGCAGGAAUAGUAAGCAGACUUGGUAGAUCGACUGUACUUCGUGACUACUCUCACGCAGCAGAAAACCAUAAGGGAUUGGAGGUGUGUGUGUGUUUAUGAACGUGUUACAUGUUGUGUGCGCAAGCGCGCUGAUUGUGAUGCUAGUAGUAUAUAUAUGCAUACUUCUGCCUGGAUAUUUGAUCUGAGAUGAAGCGAGACAACCCCCUGAAUUUAAGCAUAUUAAUAAGGGGAGGAAAAGAAAAUAACAAUGAUUCCCCCAGUAACGGCGAGUGAAGCGGGAAGAGCUCAAUUUGAAAAUCGACUUCCUCAACGGGACGUCGAGUUGUAGCCUAUAGACGUACUAUCAGCUGAAACCUGGGUAUAAGUUCAUUGGAAUGUGGCACGAUACAGGAUGAGAGUUCCGUACACGGCCCAAAGCUUUCAGCGUACGAUGUGCGUUCAUCGAGUCGAGUUGUUUGGGAUUGCAGCUCUAAAUGGGAGGUAAGUUUCUUCUAAAGCUAAAUAUUGGCGAGAGACCGAUAGCGAACAAGUACCGUGAGGGAAAGAUGAAAAGAACUUUGAAAAGAGAGUUAAAAGUACUUGAAAUUGCUAAGAGGGAAGCGCUAGAAACCAGUGCUACGCUGUGUCAAUCGCCGCUCUGUGCGCGCGCUGCUGUGUCUGUGCAAUUCCUCACGGUUUGCCUUUUGCAGCACGGCGCGUGUGCGAGUGGUUUAUGAUGCGGUGUGAGUCAAGAUCAAUUCUGCCUGGUGGGAGAAGGUGGCGUCGCAGGUAGGUUCCUCGGAACUGUUUAGUGGCGCUGCUCUACCUCGGGCUGGGAUUGAGGAAGUCUAUGGUGCGCCGUUCUACGGCUGUGGUCCUGCGUCUCCUGGUGCCUGGUUGGUGUCUUGAUAGCAAUGCUAUCCUGGCGCUGCCGGCGUGCCACUGGGGCGUAGCGGCUCUCUGUGCCAUCACGAUCUUGUACGAAAUGGUUUCUAUCGACCCGUCUUGAAACACGGACCAAGGAGUCUAACAUCUAUGCGAGUGUUUGGGUGCAAAACCCUGGCGCGGAAUGAAAGUAAAUGCAGCUCGUCUGCUGAGGUAGGAAUCCUUCACCGGAGGCACUAUCGACCGAUCAUCGCUUGCGAAAGAUUUGAGUAAGAGCAUAUCUGUUGGGACCCGAAAGAUGGUGAUCUAUGCCUGAACAGGGUGAAGCCAGGGGAAACUCUGGUGGAGGCUCGUAGCGAUACUGACGUGCAAAUCGUUCGUCUGAUUUGGGUAUAGGGGCGAAAGACUAAUCGAACCAUCUAGUAGCUGGUUCCCUC
rnacentral:misc_RNA from 1 species